AUCGUGGAUCAGCAUGCCACGGUGAAUACGUUCCCGGGUCUUGUACACACCGCCCGUCACACCAUGGGAGCCGGUAAUACCCGAAGUCAGUAGUCUAACCGCAAGGAGGACGCUGCCGAAGGUAGGAUUGGCGACUGGGGUGAAGUCGUAACAAGGUAUC
rnacentral:rRNA from 1 species